AAUAAAUCGAUGAAUAAGAAGAGUAGACAUAAACUAAGCGUUACAGAGAGCCGGGCUAUUGGUGUGAUUCCGGUACGUGAAUGUAUGUUGAAUGGCCUUAUGAGAUGUUUCUUGAAGAAAAGUAGGGAAACACGGAACUCCGCCGUUACACGGAUAGGGUAUCAGAUUAAGAUCUCGUACCUGAAAAUGAGAUGUAAGGAAAGUUAUUUUUCCUUUCAAAUGAGGUGGCACCGCGAUUGCAUUCGUCCUCUAU
rnacentral:ncRNA from 1 species